GGAAGGAAAAAGUUUUUGAAGUUCAUCAUCGAUGACCCAAUUUGAGCCAUCCAAACUUACCUGUUUGAACUUUAGACCCCUCACCCGACCUGCCAGUAUGAUUUGGAUUUACCUCAAGCAAAGCAGCAGUGCCACUGUUGGGAUCAGCGCCUCCAAAUGUCCAAGCAUCCCGGUGAUUACCUAGGAGAACAAAUCUGGACACAACAGCACACAGUUAAAGCUCUAUUUGGCAUAUUACCCGGUGGACAAACUGAUACAUUCUCCAAGUCCAAAAGUGAUGCAACAUGAUCAUCAUUACCAAUAAGUUGAUGCUACUAAAGUACUGAUUUCCGAGUCCAAAGGGUUUGUAAGGUUAAGUGCAACGUCCCUGCUUAGCCGUCGUGUUACAUACUCACAUGUAUCAACUAUGAGACAAUUUAUAGAUGUAAAAAGAACGAGUCUUUGGCAGAUCAAGUUUAUACCAGAUGCUUAUACCAAGGUCUUCCUGAAAGUCCUUCCUUAUCUCUUCUAUAAUCAAUUGAUCAAGCUGUGGAGUUGCGUAGGCCUUAAAUCCCGGACCAUCAACCGCAUAGUCAACAUUCAAAAUGCAUGUGAUGUGUAAGACAGAUGGAGACCAGUCCAUAUUCCUCUGCAUCCCAAUUGCAAAAGAUUAUGCUUCUUCGAGGUUUCCAACCUUCCUUCUGCAGCUUCCCUAGUCUCUCGGCAACCUGAAUGGAAGGUGAUAAUCAGCAUGGCCGUUCUAUAAAAAGAAUGGUAUUCCUAAUAGAGAGCAGCAGUGCCACUGCUGGGAUCAACAGCUCCAAAAGUCCAGGCAUCCCGGUGAUUACCCAGGAUAACAUAUCUGCAGAAAGGCACACAAUUUUAAACUUGUUCAAAUUCUGAUGAAAGGUACACAAUUAUCUUCACUAAUUAGUUGGACUUGUCUUGGUUCCAAAAGGUUCUUGUAGUCAAAUACUAUACCUACAUUCUUACACUGUAUGUCAAGUUCAAAGUUACAACUUCAUGACUUUGAUGGGGGUGUGGGAUUUGUGUAAUAUCUGCAUUUUGUAAUUAAAUGUACUUUCCUCCUCAGAUUAAAGUGCUUCUACAUUUUGUUUAUGUUAAUUAUUGCUCGAACAGAAUGAUAUAUACUAAUAGAAUACCUAUCAGGUUCCUC